CUUGAUCUCCUGACCUCGUGAUCCGCCCGCCUCGGCCUCCCAAAGUGCUGGGAUUACAGGCGUGAGCCACCGCGCCCGGCUGGAACUUUUCUUAAACACUGCUAAGAACGUUCAUCUCCCAGAGAUUCUAAGAGAUGAACAAACCGUGUGGAUGCCCUCAAGAUGUGUACAACUAUAGAACAGGAGAUGGGUACGACCAUAGAACAGGAGAUGGGAGGGUCCAACCAUGGACCGGGUUCCGCCAGUAUGAGCCAUGAGCCAGUUGAAUCUGAAUGCAAAGAACAAGGACCGACUGGAGUCACAAUGCUUAACGGACCAAUGCUUUCUGACUCAGCUCCUCUCUACCCUGAAU
rnacentral:lncRNA from 1 species